GUGGGGAAUCUUGCGCAAUGGGCGAAAGCCUGACGCAGCCAUGCCGCGUGGAUGAUGAAGGUCUUAGGAUUGUAAAAUCCUUUCACCGGUGAAGAUAAUGACUGUAGCCGGAGAAGAAGCCCCGGCUAACUUCGUGCCAGCAGCCGCGGUAAUACGAAGGGGGCUAGCGUUGCUCGGAUUUACUGGGCGUAAAGGGCGCGUAGGCGGACAUUUAAGUCAGGGGUGAAAUCCCGGGGCUCAACCACGGAACUGCCUUUGAUACUGGGUGUCUUGAGUAUGAGAGAGGUGUGUGGAACUCCGAGUGUAGAGGUGAAAUUCGUAGAUAUUCGGAAGAACACCAGUGGCGAAGGCGACACACUGGCUCAUUACUGACGCUGAGGCGCGAAAGCGUGGGGAGCAAACAGGAUUAGAAACCCCGGUAGUCC
rnacentral:rRNA from 1 species